UACGUAGGCAGCGAGCGUUGUUCGGAAUUACUGGGCGUAAAGAGUGUGUAGGCGGUGCUCUAAGUUCGGUGUGAAAUCUCCCGGCUUAACUGGGAGGGUGCGCCGGAAACUGGAGUGCUCGAGCGUGGGAGAGGAAAGCGGAAUUCCUGGUGUAGCGGUGAAAUGCGUAGAUAUCAGGAGGAACACCGGUGGUGUAAACGGCUUUCUGGACCAUAACUGACGCUGAGGCACGAAAGCGUGGGUAGCAAGCAGG
rnacentral:rRNA from 1 species